GACGAGGGAUCCAAGCGUUAUCCGGAUUCAUUGGGUUUAAAGGGUGCGUAGGCGGGUUUGUAAGUCAGUGGUGAAAUCCUAUCGCUUAACGAUGGAACUGCCAUUGAUACUGCGGACCUAGAAUAUAGAUGAUGUUGGCGGAAUAUGACAUGUAGCGGUGAAAUGCAUAGAUAUGUCAUAGAACACCGAUUGCGAAGGCAGCUGACAAAACUAUUAUUGACGCUGAUGCACGAAAGUGCGGGGAUCAAACAGG
rnacentral:rRNA from 1 species